UUCAGGUGUCUUCAGGCAUGGAAUUGUCAAAUCUGGGGUUAUUUUGUCAACCACAGUGAGGGAUACAAAACCGGGAGUAGUAAACUCAGGCUGCCCAACAUCUGUAUCCAAAUAGCCUACAUUUGUAUAUCUCUGGAGUAGAAUGUUGAGGACGUGACGAGAGAAAGUGGUUUUGCCACUAUUCUUGGCUCCACAGAUUAAGGCAAUAGGAGGGGAUGAAGUAGUGGAAUCGUAUGCUAUGGUGUCUGCAGCCA
rnacentral:misc_RNA from 1 species